AUUGAACGCUGGCGGCAUGCCUAACACAUGCAAGUCGAACGGGGCGCUUCGGCGCCUAGUGGCGGACGGGUGAGUAAAGCGUAGGAAUCUGCCUUGCAGUGGGGGGACAACCUGGGGAAACUCAGGCUAAUACCGCAUACGCUCGCGAGAGGAAAGCGGGGGAUCUUCGGACCUCGCGCCGCAAGAAGAGCCUACGUCCGAUUAGCUAGUUGGUAGGGUAAAAGCCUACCAAGGCGACGAUCGGUAGCUGGUCUGAGAGGAUGAUCAGCCACACUGGGACUGAGACACGGCCCAGACUCCUACGGGAGGCAGCAGUGGGAAUUUUGGACAAUGGGGGCAACCCUGAUCCAGCCAUGCGCGUGAGUGAAGAAGGCCUU
rnacentral:rRNA from 1 species